rnacentral:lncRNA from 8 species
AUGUUGAUCUUCUCACAAAGUCGACAGGUGUGCUAUCUGAAGGGCUCAGCUCGUGGCAGGGCAAUGAAUGUCAUACACUUAAAAGACAGAGUUUCAGGCUACACCCUUAAAGACUGCGAGGAAAAAGGAAAGAAAACUGUAAGCAUGGUGAAGAUGUUACUGAAAGUACCUCCAGGAGUUGACCUUAAUGACCCUCUGGUGAAAGAGCAAAUUCUCACGCAGAUACAGGCAGAGAUCACCAAGAGAGAUGGAGGUGCAUCUGUGCAAUGGAAGGAGCAGCUGGAUGGCAAAGUCUUCCAGAAGAAAGAGAAAGAGGAGAGAAAGAAAGAAGGACACUGUAAAGAAAUCACAGGAAUGCUGAGUGAGAGUCCUACAGGUGACAAAGUGGGCUUCAUUUAUUUGAAACAGAAAUUCAAUUGUUGA